GCUUUCAACAUUUCUAGAAUUUGGAAAAGAUAAUCAUGCAAAUCAAAGCUCCUCAAGUGGCUUUGCCCCCAACAUUUAAAAUUAAAACUAAUUCAGCUGAAGAUAACAAGUACCUGUCUGCCAAAAUUUGGACUGAUCCACAGAAUUCCAUGUAGAUAAAACAAGGGGAGCCUUUCUCUGCCUGUGGCCAGCAGCCUGUGCAGGACAGUACAGGAUUCAUUGUCUUCCUUUUCCCAGAGCUCUGAAGAAGUGGCGGCUGGACCUGCUGAAUAGUGAUGAGCCAGUUGUAAAGGCUGUGAGGGCCAGGAGCUGUUGGUGAAGUCCCAGCUUCAUGCUGGGGUUGUGGUGGGUAACCUAUAUGCUGCUUGUCAUCACUCUGGGUAAAGAGAUGGGCAAAGGAAUACACUGUAGCACAAUGGAUGGAUGGACAAGACUGUGGUGGCAACGUUGCAGAUGAGAUGGAAAAUCUGAGCUGCUUUGGCCAGAAGCCUAUCCUGGAUUUGGAUCCUCCUUUUGCCUUCCCCCCA